rnacentral:rRNA from 1 species
CCUACGGGACGCAUCCGUAUUUCCUCUUCCACACUUUCCUCCCUUCUUCUUGAGCAACGCCGCGUGAGUGAAGAAGGGUUUCGGCUCGUAAAGCUCUGUUGGUAGUGAAGAAAGAUAGAGGUAGUAACUGGCCUUUAUUUGACGGUAAUUACUUAGAAAGUCACGGCUAACUACGUGCCAGCAGCCGCGGUAAUACGUAGGUGGCAAGCGUUGUCCGGAUUUAUUGGGCGUAAAGCG